rnacentral:rRNA from 1 species
AGUGAACGCUGGCGGCCUGCUUAAUACAUGCAAGUCGAACGAUGAAGUCCUAGCUUGCUAGGAUGGAUUAGUGGCGCACGGGUGAGUAAUAUAUAGUUAAUCUGCCUUGCACUGAGGAACAACAGUUGGAAACGAUUGCUAAUACCUCAUACUUCAACUUUACAUAAGUUAAGUUGGGAAAGUCUUUUCGGUGCAAGAUGAGACUAUAUCGUAUCAGCUAGUUGGUAAGGUAAUGGCUUACCAAGGCUAUGACGCGUAACUGGUCUGAGAGGAUGAUCAGUCACAUUGGAACUGAGACACGGUCCAAACUCCUACGGGAGGCAGCAGUAAGGAAUAUUGUGCAAUGGGGGAAACCCUGACGCAGCAACGCCGCGUGGAGGAUGACACUUUUCGGAGCGUAAACUCCUUUUGUUAGGGAAGAAUAAUGACGGUACCUAACGAAUAAGCACCGGCUAACUCCGUG